UUUGUACUCCCUCCGUCCGAAAAUACUUGUCGGAGAAAUGGAUAAAAAUGGAUGUAUCUAGAAUUAAAAUAUGUCUAGAUACAUCCAUUUUUUCGACGAGUAUUUCCGGACAGAGGGAGUAGAUG
rnacentral:pre_miRNA from 1 species